rnacentral:tRNA from 1 species
CAAAUUAAAGCUUAAAUUAUAAAGUAUUUUAGUUACAUUAAAAAGUUAAUUGUGAAAUUCAAUUUAAUUUGA